UUCCGGCUGCUCUGCUGGUGAUGACUGUAGUCACGCAAUGGCAGAUCUCGGAAGGCUGUAGGACCAGGGCACAAUUUUGUCAAACGCGACCUAAAAAUCCUUCUGAAGCCUGCUGUGAGGGUUUGGAAUGCGUGAUCAAUCCGUUGAACCCUCCAUUACCCUCAUGUUGGUGACCAGAUGGGACGCACUGAUCUGCACUCUAGCAAGUUGUAAAAUGUUAACACACACUUGAUAUUUUGACUUGUACUAAGUCCAUUUCAAGAUAGUUUAUGCUCUCUUCUUCUGGUCAAUAAAACAAUAAUUUGAUUCUU